GUGGGGAAUAUUGGACAAUGGGCGAAAGCCUGAUCCAGCAAUGCCGCGUGAGUGAAGAAGGCCUUCGGGUUGUAAAGCUCUUUUACCCGGGAAGAUAAUGACUGUACCGGGAGAAUAAGCCCCGGCUAACUCCGUGCCAGCAGCCGCGGUAAUACGGAGGGGGCUAGCGUUGUUCGGAAUUACUGGGCGUAAAGCGCACGUAGGCGGUCUUUUAAGUCAGAGGUGAAAGCCCGGGGCUCAACUCCGGAAUUGCCUUUGAAACUGGAAGACUUGAACACGGGAGAGGUGAGUGGAAUUCCGAGUGUAGAGGUGAAAUUCGUAGAUAUUCGGAGGAACACCAGUGGCGAAGGCGGCUCACUGGACCGUUGUUGACGCUGAGGUGCGAAAGCGUGGGGAGCAAACAGGAUUAGAAACCCGAGUAGUCC
rnacentral:rRNA from 1 species